rnacentral:rRNA from 1 species
GAUCCUGGCUCAGGACGAACGCUGGCGGCGUGCUUAACACAUGCAAGUCGAACGAGAAUCUGUGGAUCGAGGAUUCGUCCAAGUGAAGCAGAGGACAGUGGCGGACGGGUGAGUAACGCGUGAGGAACCUGCCUUUCAGAGGGGGACAACAGUUGGAAACGACUGCUAAUACCGCAUGAUACAUUUGGGUGGCAUCAUCUGAAUGUCAAAGAUUUAUCGCUGAAAGAUGG